rnacentral:misc_RNA from 1 species
GUCAGGGUAUGGGAGUGAACCGGGGUAUCGUGGUGAUGCAGAGUUUGGAUAUGGUGAUGAGUUUGAUGAAGAAGAAGAUGAUCAACGGCUUUCCUUCUGGGGCGAUGAAUUUGGAGCACUCUCUAGGAUGGAGAAAGUUGGAGAGAACUCGUUGCAGAAGGUGCACCAUAGAUGUCGGCGGAGGAAACAAGAUUGUCGAAUGGUGAUCCCUUGAGGUUUGCUGAUGUUGAUGAGUGUGAUUGAUAGCCGGUUCCAAGAUUUUGCCAGUGAUACAAUCGUGUAAUUCAUGAGCAGAACCUUUUUGGGUUUGAAUACAGAAUCUGCUGCUGUAAAUAUGAACAAAUGAUGUUAAUUGUUCAUGUCUUAUUGUCAUGGUACCCCUGAUGUUCACCAUGGUAUGUUUUGGUUGGGGAUUAGACAAGUUAGUAUAUUGUACUAUUUAAGGGGUCGUUUGAUAGUGUGUAAGAGUAG